CUGGCAAUUGAAAGACGAAGCAAGUUUUCAAUCCUAAUAGUAAAUUAAUAAUAUUGAAAAAUAUUAAAAAUCACUAAAAGAUUUUUAAAUUGAAAACUUAUUGGUACAUUUUCAUGGUAACACCUCCAAGACUUCUAUAAUUUGCAAGUCAUAUGGAUGCUGCAGUGAAGACGAAAGGGAAGGAAUUCUACACUUUGCAAUUCACAUCCCCCGUCUGCAGCCGGCAAAGUUCCAACUAUACGGAGUGCAGUCCAGUUCCUUUAACCGCGAUUUUCUGCUCUUAUUGGAGCUUCAUCAGAAGGAACGUAGGCACUGUUCUCCAUACUUCAACCAAAUUGCAUCGAGAGGUUUUCCCAAACAUCGCAACCAAAGUGAUGAUAAUAGGUGGCAAGCGCCAUCUGGCAAUUGAAAGACGAAGCAAGUUUUCAAUCCUAAUAGUAAAUUAAUAAUAUUGAAAAAUAUUAAAAAUCACUAAAAGAUUUUUAAAUUGAAAACUUAUUGGUACAUUUUCAUGAUAACACCUCCAAGACUUCUAUAAUUUGCAAGUCAUAUGGAUGCUGCAGUGAAGACGAAAGGGAAGGAAUUCUACACUUUGCAAUUCACAUCCCCCCGUCUGCAGCCGGCAAAGUUCCAACUGAAAAAUGCACCUGGUUACUCUACGGAGUAAUACGAAAAUAAAAUAAAAAUGUGUACCAUUUUUAUUCGGUUGCAAUGCGAAGGCAAACCAAUCUUACUUUUUAAUUAGAAUACGGAGUGCAGUCCAGUUCCUUUAACCGCGAUUUUCUGCUCUUAUUGGAGCUUCAUCAGAAGGAACGUAGGCACUGUUCUCCAUACUCCAACCAAAUUGCAUCGAGAGGUUUUCCCAAACAUCGCAAUCAAAGUGAUGAUAAUAGGUGGCAAGCGCCAUCUGGCAAUUGAAAGACGAAGCAAGUUUUCAAUCCUAAUAGUAAAUUAAUAAUAUUGAAAAAUAUUAAAAAUCACUAAAAGAUUUUUAAAUUGAAAACUUAUUGGUACAUUUUCAUGGUAACACCUCCAAGACUUCUAUAAUUUGCAAGUCAUAUGGAUGCUGCAGUGAAGACGAAAGGGAAGGAAUUCUACACUUUGCAAUUCACAUCCCCCGUCUGCAGCCGGCAAAGUUCCAACUAUACGGAGUGCAGUCCAGUUCCUUUAACCGCGAUUUUCUGCUCUUAUUGGAGCUUCAUCAGAAGGAACGUAGGCACUGUUCUCCAUACUUCAACCAAAUUGCAUCGAGAGGUUUUCCCAAACAUCGCAACCAAAGUGAUGAUAAUAGGUGGCAAGCGCCAUCUGGCAAUUGAAAGACGAAGCAAGUUUUCAAUCCUAAUAGUAAAUUAAUAAUAUUGAAAAAUAUUAAAAAUCACUAAAAGAUUUUUAAAUUGAAAACUUAUUGGUACAUUUUCAUGAUAACACCUCCAAGACUUCUAUAAUUUGCAAGUCAUAUGGAUGCUGCAGUGAAGACGAAAGGGAAGGAAUUCUACACUUUGCAAUUCACAUCCCCCCGUCUGCAGCCGGCAAAGUUCCAACUGAAAAAUGCACCUGGUUACUCUACGGAGUAAUACGAAAAUAAAAUAAAAAUGUGUACCAUUUUUAUUCGGUUGCAAUGCGAAGGCAAACCAAUCUUACUUUUUAAUUAGAAUACGGAGUGCAGUCCAGUUCCUUUAACCGCGAUUUUCUGCUCUUAUUGGAGCUUCAUCAGAAGGAACGUAGGCACUGUUCUCCAUACUCCAACCAAAUUGCAUCGAGAGGUUUUCCCAAACAUCGCAAUCAAAGUGAUGAUAAUAGGUGGCAAGCGCCAUCUGGCAAUUGAAAGACGAAGCAAGUUUUCAAUCCUAAUAGUAAAUUAAUAAUAUUGAAAAAUAUUAAAAAUCACUAAAAGAUUUUUAAAUUGAAAACUUAUUGGUACAUUUUCAUGGUAACACCUCCAAGACUUCUAUAAUU